UACAGAGGUCUCAAGCGUUGUUCGGAUUCAUUGGGCGUAAAGCGUGCGUAGGUGGCGCGUUAAGUGAGAUGUGAAACCGUGUGGCUCAACCAUACGUUGUGUCUCAUACUGGCGUGCUAGAGGACAGCAGAGGCAAGUGGAAUUACGAGUGUAGCAGUGAAAUGCGUAGAGAUUCGUAGGAACACCAAUGGCGAAGGCAGCUUGCUGGGCUACUCCUGACACUGAGGUACGAAAGCGUGGGGAGCGAACAGG
rnacentral:rRNA from 1 species